rnacentral:rRNA from 1 species
GCAGUAGCCACGGUAAUACGAAGGGUGCAAGCGUUACUCGGAAUUACUGGGCGUAAAGCGUGCGUAGGUGGUGGUUUAAGUCCGUUGUGAAAGCUCUGGGCUCAACCUGGGAAUUGCAGUGGAUACUGGAUCACUAGAGUGUGGUAGAGGAUAGUGGAAUUUCCGGUGUAGCAGUGAAAUGCGUAGAGAUCGGAAGGAACAUCUGUGGCGAAGGCGACUAUCUGGGCCAACACUGACACUGAGGCACGAAAGCGUGGGGAGCAAACAGGAUUAGAUACCCCCGUAGUCCCUGUCUCUUAUAC